UUUUCAGUCUGUUUAAGUCUAGAAAUGAGGACAGCAAGAUUGUUAUAAUAUGACUGCUGUAUUCUACGUUAUCAAAAGAUGAAGUUGAGCAGAUUGAAAGCCGAAAACAAAGUAAUAGGAGAGCGUCGAAAAAACACCGACUCCGGCAAAAAGAUUAUGUAGACUAUCUAGAGAAGAGAUAUUUGAAUUUGUCAAGUGAAAACUAU